GUGCAACUACGCCUGCAUGAAGUCGGAAUUGCUAGUAAUCGCAGAUCAGCAUGCUGCGGUGAAUACGUUCCCGGGCCUUGUACACACCGCCCGUCACACCAUGGGAGUCGGUAACACCCGAAGUCGGUAGCCUAACCGUAAGGAGGGCGCCGCCGAAGGUGGGAUUGAUGACUGGGGUGAAGUCGUAACAAGGUAAC
rnacentral:rRNA from 1 species